rnacentral:rRNA from 1 species
AUUGAACGCUGGCGGAAUGCUUUACACAUGCAAGUCGAACGGCAGCACGGACUUCGGUCUGGUGGCGAGUGGCGAACGGGUGAGUAAUGUAUCGGAACGCGCCCAGGUGUGGGGGAUAACGUAGUGAAAAUUACGCUAAUACCGAAUACGAUCUAUGGAUGAAAGCGGGGGGUCGCAAGACCUCGCGCGAUUGGCGCGGCCGAUAUCAGAUUAGGUAGUUGGGAGGGUAAAGGACCACCAAGCCAACGAUCUGUAGCUGGUCUGAGAGGACGACCAGCCACACUGGAACUGAGACACGGUCCAGACUCCUACGGGAGGCAGCAGUGGGGAAUUUUGGACAAUGGGCGAAAGCCUGAUCCAGCCAUUCCGCGCGCAGGAUGAAGGCCCCCGGGUUGUAAACUGCUUUUGUACAGAACGAAAAGGUUUCUACUAAUACUAGGAGCUCAUGACGGUACUGUAAGAAUAAGCACCGGCUAACUACGUGCCAGCCGCCGCCGUAA